GACGAACGCUGGCGGCGUGCCUAAUAUAUGCAAGUAGAACGCUGAAGCUUGGUGCUUGCACCGAGCGGAUGAGUUGCGAACGGGUGAGUAACGCGUAGGUAACCUGCCUGGUAGCGGGGGAUAACUAUUGGAAACGAUAGCUAAUACCGCAUAAGAGUAGAUGUUGCAUGACAUUUGCUUAAAAGGUGCAAUUGCAUCACUACCAGAUGGACCUGCGUUGUAUUAGCUAGUUGGUGAGGUAACGGCUCACCAAGGCAACGAUACAUAGCCGACCUGAGAGGGUGAUCGGCCACACUGGGACUGAGACACGGCCCAGACUCCUACGGGAGGCAGCAGUAGGGAAUCUUCGGCAAUGGACGGAAGUCUGACCGAGCAACGCCGCGUGAGUGAAGAAGGUUUUCGGAUCGUAAAGCUCUGUUGUAAGAGAAGAACGAGUGUGAGAGUGGAAAGUUCACACUGUGACGGUAUCUUACCAGAAAGGGACGGCUAACUACGU
rnacentral:rRNA from 1 species